CCCCAGACUCCUACGGGAGGCAGCAGUGGGGAAUAUUGCACAAUGGGGGAAACCCUGAUGCAGCGACGCCGCGUGAAGGAAGAAGUAUUUCGGUAUGUAAACCUCUAUCAGCAGGGAAGAAAAUGACGGUACCUGACUAAGAAGCCCCGGCUAACUACGUGCCAGCAGCCGCGGUAAUACGUAGGGGGCAAGCGUUAUCCGGAUUUACUGGGUGUAAAGGGAGCGUAGGCGGUUUAGCAAGUCAGAAGUGAAAGCCCGGGGCUCAACUCCGGGACUGCUUUUGAAACUGUUGAACUAGAGUGCAGGAGAGGUAAGUGGAAUUCCUAGUGUAGCGGUGAAAUGCGUAGAUAUUAGGAGGAACACCAGUGGCGAAGGCGGCUUACUGGACUGUAAAUGACGCUGAGGCUCGAAAGCGUGGGGAGCAAACAGGAUUAGAUACCCCAGUAGG
rnacentral:rRNA from 1 species